rnacentral:lncRNA from 1 species
CUAGUGAAGUCUUUUAACAAUAAAUUUCAGUGCAAAAUUCGCCUAAUUGCUCCACUUGUAGGACAUUUCAAUAAUAUGAAAACAGGAUAUGGUGAACUCUCCCUGCUUCUGCCAUCAGUGAACUAAUAUGGAUCAAAGAUGAAUUUCGUCAUCUACGUCUAUUUUUACAUGGGAGAUGUGGGCAAUCUUGGGCCAAUCUCUCAUCAUUGGAUUUAGGAGUUGUCUCUGAUUUAUGGUUCUAAAAGCAUGGCAGGAAACCCUUCACUUGCCAAAUACUACUGGAGCUUAGGUGAUGUCUCAAUGUGGGGAUGCUAAGGAUACCAGUUUGUGGAAUCUUUACAGGAGAAUAUACAUGAGAUCCAUAGGGAGAAAAUACAGGCCUUGGUCAUCUGAGGAGGAAGCCACAUCUUGAAAUAUACCACCAACGAUGAAUUGUCUGAGAGUGGUGAGUCUGUGAGGGCCCCACUGGGACCUG